rnacentral:lncRNA from 1 species
UUUUCUGCAUUUUUAAAAUCUGAAAAAAUUAAUACAUGUUUCUUAUUUUAUUUUCAACCUUCCAUAAUCUUCUUGGCCAUUUAUUUGGUGUUUUGAAGGACUUUAUGGAUUUUUCAUUUUAUUUCCAUUUUAAAAUUCAUUUAAAAAAACUUUUGGUGCAUUUUUAUUUCAUUUAAUUGCAUUUUAUAUUUGUGUGACCUUUGUGAACUUUUGUUGGCCUUGGAUCAUA